GUUAAACUGGCCUGGCAGGAUUUAUGACCUAGCAGGACAAGGAGUCACUUCUGCCAGUUAGAUGACAGCUUUCUUACUGUUUUCCAGGUUACAAUGCUAUGAAGUAGAAAUAGACAUAAAUAUCAAAUGAGGAAAAGUCACAGCAGCAUUAAUCACUAGGCAUUAACAUGGCUAUUCUGUCUGAGGAACUGACAGAGCUGGACCUUUAGGAUCAUCAAAUCUGCUGUUUGUUGUGAGCUGCAUGAUCAUAUGGAUUCCAUAGGACAGGAUCCACAGUAAAAUGAUAGACGUCACCAAGCCCAUCCAGAUUCCAGGAGUGAAGAAACCUGUACAGUCACUUGCAUAGGAAAAUUGGUUGUUUUCAACAUUAAAGCCUUGAAUCUGAAAAAUGAAGAAAGGCAAACAGAGAAGACAGACAGGUGCUUGAACAUCUGGAUGCCUUCAGCUACUGAGAAAGCUGAGAUGAUGCUUCUUCCAGCAAGCUACUGCCCACUGCUCCUACCUGUGCUGCUUACUUCACUUCUCUAAAAUUAUCACAAUCAGAAACAUUCUACAACUGCUCCCUAACAUCUCACAUCUCAGUGGCAACUGCAGGAGAAUGAAUGGAACUACUGCUUGUGCUAGAAAAGAAGAACAGCAUCUGUUUGCACAGGAUGAGCUAUCACAGCUGUUAGUAGGAGGUGGGAUAUAUCUAGCUGCUUAGCAUGAGUCAGUAGAAUAGUGGUGGUAAGGGCAGGCUCUAGAUCCAGCUCAUGCUGAUGAAGUUAAAGCCUCUUUUGUUGACAAACAAUUCAUCUGUUUGAAUGUGGUCCUCUCUGGUGUGGCUCUAUGGCUUGAAGAGACGAUCCCUCACACCAAACUAAAUGACCCUUACAGGGAAAAGAAAUGCAGGCCUGGGUCUAAGCCAGGAGUCAUCUAGAACAGGAAGUGUAAUCAAAGUUAACCAGAAGGGAAAACAGAGUUUAAAAUGUAUUUCCAUGGGUUUUAGAAGCUCUUGACAUUAAACAUGCUGAGAUAAACAAGGUGAAUAAAGUGUUGCUGAGUCAUGAAAAGAUCGAUGGACUGUGCUGAUUCUGCUGAGUAUAUCUCUCUGUUUGCAUUAUAUGCCAUGCAAUGUACUACAUAGAUAACAAUCCUGAAGUUACAACUGUCUCAUAAUCAGGAGAUAAUCCAACAGAAAACAGCACCAUGUGUGUCUUUAUUAGAAAGUUUUCUCUUACAAACACUUUUGAGUUGUGGAUGCCAGGCAGCAGUCAAGCACUCAUGUGGCCACUUGCUCAGUCCCUGUCAUCAACAAGACAAGGUGGGAAGAACAGAAAGAAGAAAUGAGGAAACUUGUGGGUUGAAAUGAAAACAGCUUAGUAAGUGAAGAAAUGAGAUUAAAAGUUAAUACAGAAGCAAUCAUUCUCUACCUCCCACAAUCAACAGCACAGUUGAAUGCCUGGCCAAUGACUACCUUGGAAGUCAACUCCCAACUUCUUCCUCUAUUCUAUUUCUCAUUGCUAAGCACCUGUGUCACACACUAAAAAAGAAUCAAUUUAGACAUCUUUGUGUCUAAAUGCCCUGAAGGCCUAUUAAGAACCUGGAUCACA